rnacentral:sRNA from 1 species
GCCGGGCACGGUGGCACACUCCUGUAAUCCCAGCAGCUCAGGAGGCUGAGGCAGGAGGAUCAUGAGUUCAAAGCCAGCCUCAGCAAUUUAGCAAGGCACUAAGCAACUCAGUGAGACCCUGUCUCUA